CAGUAGCCGCGGUAAUACGUAGGUGGCAAGCGUUGUCCGGAAUUAUUGGGCGUAAAGGGCUCGCAGGCGGUUUCUUAAGUCUGAUGUGAAAGCCCCCGGCUCAACCGGGGAGGGUCAUUGGAAACUGGGAAACUUGAGUGCAGAAGAGGAGAGUGGAAUUCCACGUGUAGCGGUGAAAUGCGUAGAGAUGUGGAGGAACACCAGUGGCGAAGGCGACUCUCUGGUCUGUAACUGACGCUGAGGAGCGAAAGCGUGGGGAGCGAACAGGAUUAGAGACCCCGGUAGUCCCUGUCUCUUAUAA
rnacentral:rRNA from 1 species